UACGGAGGGUGCAAGCGUUGUCCGGAAUCACUGGGCGUAAAGGGCGCGUAGGCGGCUCAUGAAGGCUGUGGUGAAAGUCCGGGGCUCAACCUCGGAUCGGCCGUGGCGACUCGUGGGCUGGAGCACUGUAGAGGCGGGUGGAAUCCGGGUGUAGCGGUGGAAUGCGUAGAGAUCCGGAAGAACACCAGUGGCGAAGGCGGCCCGCUGGGCAGUGGCUGACGCUGAGGCGCGACAGCGUGGGGAGCAAACAGG
rnacentral:rRNA from 1 species